rnacentral:rRNA from 1 species
UUUAAAGGACGCGGUAUCUUGACCGUGAUAAUGUAGCAUAAUCACUCGCCAUUUAAUUAAUGGAUAGUAUGAAUGGUUAAACGAAUAUAACACUGUCCAAAUAAAAAUCUAUAAAAUUGAAAUAAUAGUAAAGAUGCUAUUUAAAAUUGUAAGACGAGAAGACCCUAUAGAGCUUAACUACAUUUAUUUUAUUAAAUAAAUUGGUAGUUUAGUUGGGGCGACUACCUUUUAAAUAUAACAAAGGUAAUCAAAAUUAAUUAUUUAAUUUAUUGUUUAAUAUAUAAAUUUAACAAUUACUAAAGUAGGAAAUAUUGACCCGUUAAUUAAAAAAAGUUUUUAUUAACGAUUAAUAAAUAAAAGCUACCUUAGGGAUAACAGGAUAAUUCUGUUUUAGAGAUCUUAUCGAAUACAGAGUUUGUCACCUCUAUGUUGAAUUAAGAUAUCCUGAAA